rnacentral:ncRNA from 1 species
CCUUGCCCUUGAGCUUGCCCGCCAGCCAGGCCACGCCAACGCCCAGCGGCUCUAACCAGCGCUGGAAGUUGAUGUAGUGCUGCUCGGCGAGAAUCUCGGUGGGGGCCAUCAGCGCCACUUGAUAACCUGCUUCCAGCGCUUGCAAGGCAGCCAGAGCGGCGACCACGGUCUUGCCCGAACCAACGUCACCCUGGAUCAACCGCAGCAUCGGCUCAGGCUGGCUCAGGUCGUAGGCGACUUCCUUGCCGACCCGCU